rnacentral:rRNA from 1 species
CACCAGCGCCACAAGUGGGGACCACUGUUAUUGGGCCUAAAGCGUCCGUAGCCGGAUUAGUAAAUCUUCUGUGAAAUUGUCAGGCUCAACCUGACAACGCGCAAAAGACACUGUUAAUCUUGAGACCGGGAGGAGUCAGAGGUAUUCCUAGGGUAGCGGUAAAAUGCAAUAAUCCUAGUAAGACCACCUGUGGCGGAGGCGUCUGACUAGAACGGGUCUGACGGUGAGGGACGAAAGCUAGGGGA